GACGAACGCUGGCGGCGUGCUUAACACAUGCAAGUCGAACGGUAAGGCUCCUGCUUGCUGGGGUACACGAGUGGCGAACGGGUGAGUAACACGUGGGUGACCUGCCCUGCACUUCGGGAUAAGCCUGGGAAACUGGGUCUAAUACCGGAUAGGACCGCACCGUGAGGGUGUGGUGGAAAGUUUUUUCGGUGUGGGAUGGGCCCGCGGCCUAUCAGCUUGUUGGUGGGGUAAUGGCCUACCAAGGCGGCGACGGGUAGCCGGCCUGAGAGGGUGGACGGCCACAUUGGGACUGAGACACGGCCCAGACUCCUACGGGAGGCAGCAGUGGGGAAUAUUGCACAAUGGGCGGAAGCCUGAUGCAGCGACGCCGCGUGGGGGAUGACGGCCUUCGGGUUGUAAACUCCUUUCACCAUCGACGAAGGGUUUCUGACGGUAGAUGGAGAAGAAGCACCGGCUAACUACGUGCCAGCAGCCGCGGUAAUACGUAGGGUGCGAGCGUUGUCCGGAAUUACUGGGCGUAAAGAGCUCAUAGGUGGUUUGUCGCGUCGUCUGUGAAAUUCCGGGGCUUAACUCCGGGCGUGCAGGCGAUACGGGCAUAACUUGAGUACUGUAGGGGAGACUGGAAUUCCUGGUGUAGCGGUGAAAUGCGCAGAUAUCAGGAGGAACACCGGUGGCGGAGGCGGGUCUCUGGGCAGUAACUGACGCUGAGGAGCGAAAGCAUGGGGAGCGAACAGGAUUAGAUACCCUGGUAGUCCAUGCCGUAAACGGUGGGCGCUAGGUGUGGGUUUCCUUCCACGGGAUCCGUGCCGUAGCUAACGCAUUAAGCGCCCCGCCUGGGGAGUACGGCCGCAAGGCUAAAACUCAAAGGAAUUGACGGGGGCCCGCACAAGCGGCGGAGCAUGUGGAUUAAUUCGAUGCAACGCGAAGAACCUUACCUGGGCUUGACAUAUACAGGAUCGCGCCAGAGAUGGUGUUUCCCUUGUGGCUUGUAUACAGGUGGUGCAUGGUUGUCGUCAGCUCGUGUCGUGAGAUGUUGGGUUAAGUCCCGCAACGAGCGCAACCCUUGUCUUAUGUUGCCAGCACGUUGUGGUGGGGACUCGUAAGAAACUGCCGGGGUUAACUCGGAGGAAGGUGGGGAUGACGUCAAAUCAUCAUGCCCCUUAUGUCCAGGGCUUCACACAUGCUACAAUGGUCGGUACAGUGGGUUGCCAGUCCGUGAGGGCGAGCUAAUCCCGCAAAGCCGGUCUCAGUUCGGAUCGGGGUCUGCAACUCGACCCCGUGAAGUCGGAGUCGCUAGUAAUCGCAGAUCAGCAACGCUGCGGUGAAUACGUUCCCGGGCCU
rnacentral:rRNA from 1 species